UGUCAACUCACUUCGGCGUUCCGCUUCAAUGUAAUUCCAGGCUCGAAUGUGGUGCUAGGCUUUGACCGCGGUAAUUCCAAUUACAGCGUCGCUUACGACAGUCUCAACACUACCAUUACGAAGAUCUGCAACAGCACCAAGGAGUAUCCUGACCUCCAUUUGGGCGUGGCAUUGUUUUCUCUCGAGUUAGAAGAUGGAAACAAGGAGUGUCUCAAGAGUGGGCACCUGAAUGAAGUCGCAGGAUAUUGGCGCACAAGCGGAGUGUCAUCAUAUGUGAAGAAUGUCAUUAGAGAUGCCAAUUUUUUAACCACGCAACCAGAAUGUGAUCUAUACAAGAAAAUAAGAAAAACAAUCUGAGAAGACGAUUUUGACUUCUCGAUUUUCUCUAUUAAAAACAAAAACGUCUCGGUCA